rnacentral:lncRNA from 1 species
AUAUACUAUCUAUAUAAAUUUUUAUUAAAUAUUAUUGUUUCCUAAUAAUUUGAGCAGAAAUUUCUAAAAUUUUACAGUCAAUUCAAAAAGCCAAAUCGACAGCCAUAAAAAUUAAAUGAAGCUUGACCAAAAAAAUUUGCUAAUUAUUGCUUUUGCCCAAUCAUAAUAUUUACAGGUGGUUCCAGACCUGGUAGUGAUGAUCGUUAUGGUUAUGACAGCUAUGGAGGUGCACCCUCCUACAACCAAUCACGCGAUAAUUAUGGUGGUUCAGCCCCAAGUUAUGGCCCUCCUCGUGGAAGUGGUGCUCCACCCCCGCGUCAUUAUUAGUUCGAGAAGGAAGCACCAACUGUCAUUUACAUUGAUUACUAUUUACAAGAUGUUUAUAAAUUCAUUUAAUUGUCCAAUUUUGUAGGAAUACUUGUAUCAAUGACUAUGAUUGACAUUUCAUGUUUCAAAGAAAAUGUACAGUUUUACAUUUAAGCUUUUUAAUCCAUUUUACUGAAAACCAUAGAAAACAAAUAAUUGAUAAAUGAUCACAGUUCUUCAUUGCUCAUUUUUGAUUCAUAGUAACUCAUGUAUUUGGGUUUUUGUUUAACAUAUACUUUGCUGUAUAUAGAUAUCAUUGUUAGCAAUCAUUACGUUUUUAAAAAAGGCAAAACAACUUCAUUGUAACAAUCUACUAAUGAAGAGUUUUUUGUAAUGUGAUAUGUUUGGUGGAAUAUCCUUAGAAUCAAUAGUAUAAUCUAUCAUCCGUCAUCUUCACUGAAUUAAAUGUAUGUGACCUUUGUUGUGAAAAUAUAGUUGUAUUUCUGUAUUUACAGAAAAGUUGGUGCAUGAGUAAUAUGAAUUAAUGCUUAAAUAAAGUAAAAGAUUUUAAAUAAGUAUAUUUGAAGAAGUAAUAAAGUUAUUUAAACAAAAUUAAUUCAAUAAUAUCAACAAUGGAAACAAUUUUAAAUUCUAAUUUUGAAAAAAAAUUUACAUCAUUAAAUUUGAUAAUGUGACCAAAUUUCAUUUAUAAUUACAAUUAAAAUUCG